CGAGACCAAGAUGUGAAGAUGACGGUGAACAGCUGAAGAGACGCUGCAGCUGAUCCUCGUCACAAACAGCUGAUGCAGCAGCAGGAGGAGGACAGGCAGGACACAGACCAGUUUGGAGACAUUAGCUGAUGUUUGGAAACUGCGGCGUCUCCAAAACUGAGCGAAACGACAGGCGCUGUGAGCCGCUGCAAGGCUGCUGGAAGCGAGGAGAGCUGUCUCUGCCGAGGAAGAAAAGGAUGUUUGGAGAGGGAUCACAUCAGACAUGACAUUAGAUGAGGAACACACCGCAGAAGGCUGCGUUUUGGGCCACCCUGAGACAGACCGGCACCGACUGCAAACGACCCCGAAGCAACAAAGAGACAUUUCAAGCAUCUCAUGAAAUAAAACAACUCUAAAUAAAGCUUCAUAUUUUCAAUA